UUAAGCGACUAAGCGUACACGGUGGAUGCCCUGGCAGUCAGAGGCGAUGAAGGACGUGCUAAUCUGCGAAAAGCGUCGGUAAGGUGAUAUGAACCGUUAUAACCGGCGAUGUCCGAAUGGGGAAACCCAGUGCAAUUCGUUGCACUAUCGUUAACUGAAUACAUAGGUUAACGAGGCGAACCGGGGGAACUGAAACAUCUAAGUACCCCGAGGAAAAGAAAUCAACCGAGAUUCCCCCAGUAGCGGCGAGCGAACGGGGAGCAGCCCAGAGUCUGAAUCAGCUUGUGUGUUAGUGGAACGGUCUGGAAAGUCCGACGGUACAGGGUGAUAGUCCCGUACACCAAAAUGCACAGGCUGUGAACUCGAAGAGUAGGGCGGGACACGUGGUAUCCUGUCUGAAUAUGGGGGGACCAUCCUCCAAGGCUAAAUACUCCUGACUGACCGAUAGUGAACCAGUACCGUGAGGGAAAGGCGAAAAGAACCCCGGCGAGGGGAGUGAAAAAGAACCUGAAACCGUGUACGUACAAGCAGUGGGAGCACCUUUAUGGUGUGACUGCGUACCUUUUGUAUAAUGGGUCAGCGACUUAUAUUCUGUAGCAAGGUUAACCGUAUAGGGGAGCCGCAGGGAAACCGAGUCUUAACUGGGCGUUAAGUUGCAGGGUAUAGACCCGAAACCCGGUGAUCUAGCCAUGGGCAGGUUGAAGGUUGGGUAACACUAACUGGAGGACCGAACCGACUAAUGUUGAAAAAUUAGCGGAUGACUUGUGGCUGGGGGUGAAAGGCCAAUCAAACCGGGAGAUAGCUGGUUCUCCCCGAAAGCUAUUUAGGUAGCGCCUCGUGAACUCAUCUUCGGGGGUAGAGCACUGUUUCGGCUAGGGGGUCAUCCCGACUUACCAACCCGAUGCAAACUACGAAUACCGAAGAAUGUUAUCACGGGAGACACACGGCGGGUGCUAACGUCCGUCGUGAAGAGGGAAACAACCCAGACCGCCAGCUAAGGUCCCAAAGUCAUGGUUAAGUGGGAAACGAUGUGGGAAGGCACAGACAGCCAGGAUGUUGGCUUAGAAGCAGCCAUCAUUUAAAGAAAGCGUAAUAGCUCACUGGUCGAGUCGGCCUGCGCGGAAGAUGUAACGGGGCUAAACCAUGCACCGAAGCUGCGGCAGCGACACUAUGUGUUGUUGGGUAGGGGAGCGUUCUGUAAGCCUGCGAAGGUGACCUGUGAGGGUUGCUGGAGGUAUCAGAAGUGCGAAUGCUGACAUAAGUAACGAUAAAGCGGGUGAAAAGCCCGCUCGCCGGAAGACCAAGGGUUCCUGUCCAACGUUAAUCGGGGCAGGGUGAGUCGACCCCUAAGGCGAGGCCGAAAGGCGUAGUCGAUGGGAAACAGGUUAAUAUUCCUGUACUUGGUGUUACUGCGAAGGGGGGACGGAGAAGGCUAUGUUAGCCGGGCGACGGUUGUCCCGGUUUAAGCAUGUAGGCUGGUUAUCCAGGCAAAUCCGGAUAAUCAAGGCUGAGGUGUGAUGACGAGGCACUACGGUGCUGAAGUAACAAAUGCCCUGCUUCCAGGAAAAGCCUCUAAGCAUCAGGUAACAUCAAAUCGUACCCCAAACCGACACAGGUGGUCAGGUAGAGAAUACCAAGGCGCUUGAGAGAACUCGGGUGAAGGAACUAGGCAAAAUGGUGCCGUAACUUCGGGAGAAGGCACGCUGGUGUGUAGGUGAAGCCCCUGCGGGUGGAGCUGAGACCAGUCGAAGAUACCAGCUGGCUGCAACUGUUUAUUAAAAACACAGCACUGUGCAAACACGAAAGUGGACGUAUACGGUGUGACGCCUGCCCGGUGCCGGAAGGUUAAUUGAUGGGGUUAUCCGUAAGGAGAAGCUCUUGAUCGAAGCCCCGGUAAACGGCGGCCGUAACUAUAACGGUCCUAAGGUAGCGAAAUUCCUUGUCGGGUAAGUUCCGACCUGCACGAAUGGCGUAAUGAUGGCCAGGCUGUCUCCACCCGAGACUCAGUGAAAUUGAACUCGCUGUGAAGAUGCAGUGUACCCGCGGCAAGACGGAAAGACCCCGUGAACCUUUACUAUAGCUUGACACUGAACAUUGAGCCUUGAUGUGUAGGAUAGGUGGGAGGCUUUGAAGCGUGGACGCCAGUCUGCGUGGAGCCAACCUUGAAAUACCACCCUUUAAUGUUUGAUGUUCUAACGUUGGCCCCUUAUCGGGGUUGCGGACAGUGUCUGGUGGGUAGUUUGACUGGGGCGGUCUCCUCCCAAAGCGUAACGGAGGAGCACGAAGGUUAGCUAAUCCUGGUCGGACAUCAGGAGGUUAGUGCAAUGGCAUAAGCUAGCUUGACUGCGAGCGUGACGGCGCGAGCAGGUGCGAAAGCAGGUCAUAGUGAUCCGGUGGUUCUGAAUGGAAGGGCCAUCGCUCAACGGAUAAAAGGUACUCCGGGGAUAACAGGCUGAUACCGCCCAAGAGUUCAUAUCGACGGCGGUGUUUGGCACCUCGAUGUCGGCUCAUCACAUCCUGGGGCUGAAGUAGGUCCCAAGGGUAUGGCUGUUCGCCAUUUAAAGUGGUACGCGAGCUGGGUUUAGAACGUCGUGAGACAGUUCGGUCCCUAUCUGCCGUGGGCGCUGGAGAAUUGAGGGGGGCUGCUCCUAGUACGAGAGGACCGGAGUGGACGCAUCACUGGUGUUCGGGUUGUCAUGCCAAUGGCACUGCCCGGUAGCUAAAUGCGGAAGAGAUAAGUGCUGAAAGCAUCUAAGCACGAAACUUGCCCCGAGAUGAGUUCUCCCUGAGACUUUAAGUCUCCUGAAGGAACGUUAAAGACGAUGACGUUGAUAGGCCGGGUGUGUAAGCGCAGCGAUGCGUUGAGCUAACCGGUACUAAUGAACCGUGAGGCUUAACCU
rnacentral:rRNA from 1 species